AUUGAACGCUGGCGGCAGGCUUAACACAUGCAAGUCGAGCGGGGAAGGGUAGCUUGCUACCUAACCUAGCGGCGGACGGGUGAGUAAUGCUUAGGAAUCUGCCAUUUAGUGGGGGACAACAUUCCGACAGGAAUGCUAAUACCGCAUACGACCUACGGGAGAAAGCAGGGGCUCUUCGGACCUUGCGCUAAAUGAUGAGCCUACGGCGGAUUAGCUAGUUGGUGGGGUAAAGGCCUACCAAGGCGACGAUCUGUAGCGGGUCUGAGAGGAUGAUCCGCAACACUGGGACUGAGACACGGCCCAGACUCCUGCGGGAGGCAGCAGUGGGGAAUAUUGGACAAUGGGCGGAAGCCUGAUCCAGCCAUGCCGCGUGUGUGAAGAAGGCCUUAUGGUUGUAAAGCACUUUAAGCGAGGAGGAGGCUACUUAGAUUAAUACUCUAGGAUAGUGGACGUUACCCGCAGAAUAAGCACCGGCUAACUCUGUGCCAGCCGCCGCCGUAA
rnacentral:rRNA from 1 species